AUGAAUGAAACCAUACAGGUGAAGCACAUUGUGCAAAGGGGAUGCUCCAAGGACGAACUUGACCAUGACAAGGUGCUCAGCCAGACUGUGGUCCAGGGUCACCCACACAUCCCUCCAGAUGCUUCGGGACACAGCUACACAGUCAUGUGAACUACAGUCACCACGAAGCCCACACAGGUACUGCUCUCCUCCUGGACACACGCAGACCAACACUCGUCAAGCUCCAGAACAGGGGUCCGUGGAGCCUGAUCGAUAUGCUGCUCCCGUGAAGCCUCCCUAAAGACCACACGCGGGCGAGCUCUCUCUGUGUGGACAGAGUCAAGUGUGGGCUUAGAAAAACCCACAGCCCCUCCAGAGCCACGCUUAACCUAAGCAAGUCCUUCUGUGGAUUGGAAGAAAGUGCCUCAUUCAAGCAGCCCAGCCCUGGACAUGGACUUCAGCCCUCGGUCAGGUGGUAUAUUUGUAGUGUGCAGCUUUUAUGAUUGGGUGAGUUGGGUGUUCCGUGUGUGUGUGUGUGUGUGUGUGUGUGUGUGUGUGUGUGUGUUUGCAUAUCUGUGAAUGGGUUCCU